CAGAGUUUUUAUUGCUAAAUCAAUUUUUAUAGCAAAUCUUCUUAUUUUUUUUUAUUUUUUCUUGCACAUUUUGAUUGCACUAUCAAAUACUUUUACUAUUAGUAGCUUUUCCCUUUGAUAUUCCAAGUACCUGUUUAGGAAUAUUCAUAAUCAAGAGGAAGCUGUCUAGGAAAGUUCCUAAUUAAGGGUAAUUAGUAGGAACGUUCCUAAUUAAGGGAACUUAGUAGGAACGUUCCUAAUUAGGGGACGGGGGAGUUAUUUAGGAAAGUUUCCUAAUUUUGUUUAUGCUAUUUAGGAAUGUUUCAUAAAACAUGCUUAAUUGUUUAGGAUGAUUUUCUAAAUCAUAUUUAAUUGUUUAUGAAGGUUUUUUAAAUCAUAUUUAAAUAUUUAGGAAGGUCUCCUAAAUUAUGUUUAUGUUGAUUAUAAAGGUUCUAUUUUUUAAAAAAGUUUUCUAAGUUUAUGCUGAUUAGAAAGGUUCUAAUUAUGUUAUGGAGUUCUAGGGCUAUUUCAGAGGGGAGUUUGUCUAUGGUUUUGUGAGAAUAUUGUUGAGUUUAUUUUCUUAGUGUUUGUUGUGAGUUCCUAGUGGCGUCUACGGUUUGUGGGAAAGCUGAUCUACCUCUCGAAUAGUAAAUCAAUUGUAUUUUGCUUUAUUAUUGAAGGAAAAAUAAGAAAAUCAGCCAUAUAUUUGUGUUCUUAUGCUGUUCUUCUCUUUUAUUUGUUGUUUUUACUUCCAAGAUGUAUCAAAUUGGUAUCCGAAUACUUUUUUGGGAUCUAUGAGGCAUUUGAAAGUAAGAUGGAGCAAAUUAAAUCUUUUAUUUCUAUCGAAAGCUUCAUUGGUGAUUCCUAGGGUUAAACCAAAGGGAAAGGAAAUUUUGGAGGAGAUAUGAGAAAGCUCGUGGAGAUGCGAUUUAAAACCCUACCAACGGUUCCAAUUGCUAACCCUAAUCAAAAUUUGAUUAGGAUUCCCUUGGUCAAAUUUUCUAAUUAAGGAAAAUUAUUAGGAAUGUUACUAAUGGGGGGUGGGGGAGUUAUUUAUGAAAGUUUCCUAGUUGUGUUUAUGUUAUUUAGGAAGAUCUCAUAAAAUAUGCUUAAUUGUUUAGAAAGAUUUUCUAAAUCAUAUUUAAUUGUUUAGGAAAGUUUCCUAAAUCAUAUUUAAUUAUUUAGUAAGGUUUCUGAAAUUAUGUUUAUGUUGAUUAUGAAGGUUCUAAUUAUGUUUUGGUGUUCUAGGUCUACUUCAGGAGGGAGUUUGUCUAUGGUUUAGGGAGAAUAUUGCUGAGUUUAUUUUCUUAGUGUUUGUUGUGAGUUCCUAGUGGUGUCUACAGCUUGUGGGAAAGCUGAUCUACCUCUCGAAUAGUAGAUCAAUUGUAUCUUGCUUUAUUAUUGAAGGAAAAAUAAGAAAAUCAGUUAUAUCUUUGUGUUCUUAUACUGUUCUUCUCUUUUAUUUAUUGUUUUUAUUUCUAAGUGAUUCAUAUCGGAUCUUCGCCAAAACACAAUUAUUCCGCUGUUUUCAAUAGAAAACAACCACCAAACAAUGGAAAAACUGAGAAAAUAGGGAGAAAACGUUGGGAAAACAAUAGUAACAAUUGUAUUCCACUAGUAGACAAACAAAACCAAAGCAAGAUACAAUGUUCUUCAAUUCGAGAGGAAGAACAACUCUCCAACAAUCUCCGGCAACGCCAAGAGCCCAAGCAAGAAAACC